rnacentral:rRNA from 1 species
CAACUUUCAGCAACGGAUCUCUUGGUUCUCGCAUCGAUGAAGAACGCAGCGAAUUGCGAUAAGUAAUGUGAAUUGCAGAUUUCCAGUGAAUCAUCGAAUCUUUGAACGCACCUUGCGCUCCUUGGUAUUCCGAGGAGCAUGCCUGUUUGAGUGUCAU